UUAAAAGGAUUUCCUGAAAUUGGUAAGUGUUGGUUAUAAUUUAUUCAUAUAAUAAAUUGCUUCAGAAUCUUCAUGGGAUUAUUUUUUUGGUAGGUGAUGAGUCUGUUGAAAAGAUAGAAGAGGAGAAAGAAGAAGAGGAGAAAGAGAAGGAGAAAGAAGAAGAGAGUGGAGAAUCUAUAGACUUGAAUUGAGGUAUUAGAGCAAGAAAGUCAACAAUAUUUGGGGAUCAAUAUGUGCAUUUCAACGUCAGCAUCCCUACGCUGAAGACAAGUAAAGAAGCUGGAAGCUGGAGCAAAGUGAAUCAUGAUAUCAGAGUUAUAACUUUUUUUUUACAUAAAACAGAGAGUUAUGAAAAACUGAAGUCUAUUGAAUUUAAUUUACAUCACAUUUGUAUUCAGAAAUUUUCAAUGACAUUAAAAUUGAGUUUA